GUCUCAACUGCAUUUGAAUGCUGAGCCCAACAUAUUCAGGUCAGCUGCCACGGUGGCUGGUAUCCACCUUCAGAGGGCUGGAGGUGCAAAGCUGAUGUUUGUUUAAGUGAGUCAACAACACGAUUUCUACUGGAGGCACCACGAGAUGCUACCCAAUGGCUAAUGAUGGGGGUUUACGGAGAAAGAAGUUCUGGCUGUAACUCUGAAGAGACAUCCUAAAACCAGCCAGAGGGGGUCGAUGUCUCUAGGGAACGCUGCAAUGAAGACUGGAUCUUGACUGAGAAUGCUGCAAAAAGCUAUUAAACACAAUAGGCCUUCUCUCCUGGCUGCCAGUCCAUAUCCCACUUCCAGCUAGCCUCGGAGCCGAGGCCCUGAUACACAACAGACACAACUGGUUCUCACUAGGAAGAAACACCUCAUCUCACAAGGGACUUCUGAAGAUGUUUGGAUCAAAAUAAUCCAAAGGUUCUUAACUGCUCAUGGAACGGCUCAAAUCAGACCCACAUUUGUCCCAAGAACAAAGAAACUCAUCGAAUGUCCUGCAGGGGUACAAAAUCAAUCACACGUUUCUGGAACUCACGUGCACGAGGACAGGAGAGUUAAUCGAAGGUUAUCCAGAGCAAACACGGAAAAUGGGUCAGGAGGAAGUGAAAGUCACACAUCAGCUGAGAGUGAAAAGUGGACCUGAUUACAACAGCAUGGAUCUUCUGUUUUUACUUGAAGACAUCAGAUCAGGGAGGGAACAGACCAAUGGAAACCCAGAUGCACCAACAAAGCACUAAUGAGACCAGUUACAUGCUCAAAUGACGUCUGUGUAAUUUUUUAUUCUCUUUAAUCAGUUCAACAAACCAACGUAAUUAUUUGAGUGUUUUUUUAAUUAAUGAGAUAUUUGUCUUUGUUUUCUAAUUUCGCCUGACUUCACAGCUGUUUUAACACCAGUAAAAUGUCUGAAAUUCAGAAAAUCAAGAACAUAAUCACUAUCAAGGUCACUAUUAUCAAUAAAGUACAGAUUCAGAUGCUAACUCAAGCACUCAUUGAUUUUGUCUGGUGAUUUAACACAAUUUAUCUUCUAAUAAAAGUGUGGUUGACUGAAAAAAUAUAUUAUUUCU